AGGGCUUGGAUCUGAGGCUGGUGAGAGCUGUUCUAAUGGGGUUUUGUGGGGGGCUCAAUGGGGAUAGGAGCAGUCCCCUCAAGUCUAGCAGAUUAGGGUGGAUUUUGGGCUACUUUCAGGAUGUCCUCUUCCCUGUAAGGGAGCUUUUUCAUUCUGAGUGCUGUGAACUCCCUUUGUUGCACCGUAGUUGAGUUGGAGUAAUGGAGCUGCUGCAUGUCUGAGGAAUGAAUCUUGGUUCAAACAGUGUCUGUAGCAGAACUGGGACCAGAGUUCUUGAUCUUCACUCUUCAGACUGUUGCUCCGUAUGCUCAACUGUUUUGUACACUACUUUGUUUGGGUCACCACUACUUGAGAAUAUAAUAUGGGAGAUUUUUCUGCUUCAAGAGUGCAUUUUUCUGCAUACGAUUUUUCUGCACAUGGCUACACCACUUAUUUCAUACUGUGAUGCUCCUGAUGGAGGAAGAUGGAGAUGGCACUGGAUUCUGUGACAGAAGGAAAGAAUGCAGGAAAUAACUCCCCAGUUCACUUGAUUUUUUACCUGAUGAUUUACAAGGUAUGUAAAUGAGGAGACAGCCACAGAAGGUACCUUUAAUGGCAUCUUAAUGCAUCAUGGAAUUUACGACAGGGCAUGAAUAGCUUGUGCACUCAACUGUUGGAAGCAGAUGCUGCCAUAAUUCUACUUAAUACUCAGUAGCAAAGUAAAGCAUAUUGUUUUUUGUAGAAAUGUUUAUGAAACAUUAAUAAGAAUAACAUGCACCAUUCAAUGCUGGCCAUAUAAUGUGAAACCUUUUUAUAAAUAUUGAUGAGGGUAACAUUUGGGUUCACUGUAUAAAUUGAUUUCAAGUAGCACUUCUGAGAUUCUCUGUCAUUUCUUCCCAUCUUAGUCAUACUGGGAUCCUUAAAAGAGGUAGAAUAGAGAGGAGUCAGAAUCAUACAUAUCUAACAUAAGAGAAGCUUUCAGACAGAGAGAUUUAAAGUUGCUUUGGUAAUAGCAGAGGAUGUUUUGCAAUUUGAAACCAGGACUUUUCACCUAUUUUUUACUACUGACUUUAGAGGAAUUACUGAACUUCAUUAUAUCUAAUGCCUCGCAUCUAUCUAUCUAAUAUACGUGUAUAAAUUCUAGAUUUCUUUGUGUUGAUCUGUGGUUUCCGUUAAAUAAACUUUGGAAAAUUUGCUGUUUCCUAUGGGUAACUGAACUGUCCAAAUUAGUUUUUCACUAUUAGAGAGUAUGAGAUUUUCAAAUGUUGUAUAUUUGCAAAAGAAGCUUUUGUCACUUUCUCUGUAUAAAUUUGGUUUACUGAUUGUGCAGGGAUUAUAUAGUCUGUCUUUCUCUUUUAAGUAGUUUGAAUCAGCCUUUGAACCCACACAUCUCUGAAAUUUUUAGCAAUGGUACUUGGCUGACAAUAAAAUAUUUUGCUACCUUGUUAUGGUUGAAAUGGGAGAUUCAAGCUGUGAAAACCUUCCCUCUCCCCCCCUCUCCCUCCCCCCCUUCUCUCUCUCUUUUAAAAUCUGUCUUAAUGGCUAAAUAUCCUUCACUGUUUAGGGUCUUAUUAUGAGAUAUCCUGAAAUAAUCAGAAAAAUGAGAGUUUUGAUAGGAUUGGAGGCAUUUUUACUUUUCAUAUACAUAAUUAACUCUUGGAAAAACUAUGCACUAAAUCUUCCUGAAGAAGACUGCAAACAAUUCAGUAAAGUUGGAUGUAGAUAAGGUGAUUUUUAUUAUAUUGAUGAGCUUCAAAUCAACCAUGAUAAAAUAUCUGUGAGGUUUGAAUGAGCACCUUAAUACAAAGCCUUUAGAAGACAUCUCUGAGGUGGAAAGACAAAAUGUCUAGUGGAGCUUCUUGGACAAUGACCUGCCAGGUUCUGUUCUAAAAAUUGCAAAUUGUGAUGAUUUGAACUGUUUGAAAAAUGGCCUUCUAUCUCCUUGGAAAACUCUGAAUUUCUGGCAAAAAAAAAAACAAACUCUAUUUUUUUUUCUAUAAAUUUUUAAUAUCUGUAUCUGAGAUUGCUGUAAUGGUAUCUCAGAGAAGUCUUACACUAGUGGCUCAUACGUCCACCUAUUCUGUUAAUGCAUUCCCAGCCAAUUUAUAUGUUCCAGAAGAUAUCACUGUCUUACUUAAGCAUCUAGCACCCAUUGAAGAAUGAAGAUAUGGAAGUAAUUUAUUUCUAACUGCAGUGAAAUGCUCCAGUGAUGUAUCUGGAUCAAAAUAGUUAUUUCCCAGGUAUAGUUUUGAUGAAAAACUUGUAAACGAGUCACAAAUUUAAUUGAACUGACGGUUUACUGUGAAACGGUUUAUUCUGUGAAAAAGCACUGCAUGCCAUUGGCACUCACAACAUUGCUGCUAAGCUGUUAGUUGGAGUGGGGGGGAGGCUCAGGUAGCAUUUCUUGUGUGGUAAAUGAGAAUUUUGUGUGAAAAGUUGACCCAGGAAGGAAAUGCAGCCCAGGUUGUCUUCUUCUCAAGGUGGAGCUGGAGCUACUAAUAUGCAGGGUAUUUUCUUGUCUGCUUAAUUCAGUGGAAAGGCUUGCUAUUAUCUGUCACAACUCUUGCACUAUAGAAACAGUGUUUCUGAAAGAGAAUGAAAUACAUGUAGGAAGGAAAUUUUAAAUAAAAAACAGUCAUGAUUUGUACACUUGGAUUAUGUGUUUAAGCACUAGUUUCUUCACUGUUUUCUAGGAUUCAGUAGUAAAUAAGUUGAUUGCUACUGGGAGUGUUGAAAUGCUCACACUACAAUAUUUUUUCCUGUUAGUUGC